UGCCAGCCGCCGCGGUAAUACGGAGGGUGCAAGCGUUAAUCGGAAUUACUGGGCGUAAAGCGCGCGUAGGCGGCUUGGUAAGCCGGAUGUGAAAGCCCAGGGCUCAACCCUGGAAUUGCAUUCGAUACUGCCGAACUAGAGUAUGGUAGAGGGAAGUGGAAUUUCCGGUGUAGCGGUGAAAUGCGUAGAUAUCGGAAGGAACACCAGUGGCGAAGGCGGCUCUCUGGACCGACACUGACACUGAGGUACGAAAGCGUGGGGAGCGAACAGGAUUAGAUA
rnacentral:rRNA from 1 species